rnacentral:rRNA from 1 species
UGGACCCACAAAAAACCCUGACCUCAAAUCGGGUGAGACUACCCGCUGAACUUAA